CGCAAUGGCCGGGAAGAACUUCCUCUUCCUUGGCUCUCCCCACUUACUUCCUGAUAACCUGAGUUGAAGUCGGUGAAGACAUUCAUGAUUUAAACACCAGAUCCUGAAAGGCAUUAAAUCUACUUUGAAAUGAAUCUGCAAUCAGUAUUUCAAAGCUUUUCUGACGUUGCUGAAUUUGAAUUGGGAUCACAUGUGUUUCCUCAUCUAGGACCUGGUGAACUUCCAACACUAUGUUGAAUAGGAGUGGUGAGAGAGGGCAUCCCUGACAUGGGUGCAGGCUAUGAAGAUGGGAAAAGGCCGUUGAUCACUCUGGCUUCUUCCUGCUGACAGCGGACAUAGUGGGAAUGGGAGUGAACCCCAAGGUGAGAGAGUGGAACCACUUUGCAACUGUCUGAGCGUACUCAUGCAGCCCUGGCUUUUCAGUAGGCCUACACAGAAAAUGUGAGACUGAAAACCCCUGCAUCCUUGAGCUCAUGGACGAUGUGCUCUAUGAGGCAGUAGAGGAGCUCCGCCUGGUACUCGACACUCCACAAAGCAACUCUCCCUUUGGGGCUGCAGUUGGUGAACAAAAAGAAACUCUCAAGGAUCCAAGAUGAUGCUGAUAAGACUUAUUAAAUUUGG
rnacentral:lncRNA from 10 species